CCUACGGGAGGCUGCAGUGGGGAAUAUUGCACAAUGGGCGCGAGCCUGAUGCAGCCAUGCCGCAUGUGUGAAGAAGGCCUUCGGGUUGUAAAGCACUUUCAGCGGGGAGGAAGGCGGUGAGGUUAAUAACCUCAUCGAUUGACGUUACCCGCAGAAGAAGCACCGGCUAACUCCGUGCCAGCAGCCGCGGUAAUACGGAGGGUGCAAGCGUUAAUCGGAAUUACUGGGCGUAAAGCGCACGCAGGCGGUCUGUCAAGUCGGAUGUGAAAUCCCCGGGCUCAACCUGGGAACUGCAUUCGAAACUGGCAGGCUAGAGUCUUGUAGAGGGGGGUAGAAUUCCAGGUGUAGCGGUGAAAUGCGUAGAGAUCUGGAGGAAUACCGGUGGCGAAGGCGGCCCCCUGGACAAAGACUGACGCUCAGGUGCGAAAGCGUGGGGAGCAAACAGGAUUAGAUACCCGAGUAGUC
rnacentral:rRNA from 1 species